AACGUAGGGGGCCAGCGUUGCUCGGAAUUACUGGGCGUAAAGGGUCCGUAGGCGGUGUGGCAAGUCGGAAGUGAAAUCUCAGGGCUUAACCCUGAGGCUGCUUCUGAAACUGCCGUGCUAGAGUGCGGGAGAGGCGAGUGGAAUUGCAGGUGUAGCGGUGAAAUGCGUAGAUAUCUGGAGGAACACCCGAGGCGAAGGCGGCUCGCUGGAUCGCAACUGACGCUGAGGGACGAAAGCUAGGGGAGCAAACAGG
rnacentral:rRNA from 1 species